rnacentral:misc_RNA from 1 species
CUGAAGGCCCCCUUGGACCGCUAUAUGGCGGACUUCCCCAAAGUGAAGAUUGUCCGAGCGGCCAAGAGGGAAGGACUGACCAGGGGCCGACUACUGGGGUACGACCAGGCCAAGGGGCCAGUCCUCGUCUUCCUCGACUCCCACAUAGAGUGCUUCCCAGGUUGGCUGGAGCCCCUCUUGUCUAAGAUAGCCGAGGACCCCCGGGCAGUAGCGUUCCCUGUCAUCCCAGUGAUCAGCAGGUUGGACUUGAGCGUCCAAAACACCAUGAGUCUGACGGUGGGCAAGUUCAAGUGGAACGGUCUGACCUUCAUCUGGGGCGGUAUGUCGGGAAAGGAGAGGGCCCGGAGGAAGGAGAAGUACGAACCCGUCAGAUCCCCAACGAUGCCCGGUGGGUUGUUCGCGAUAGACAAGCAGUGGUUCACUACCCUCGGCACGUACGACCCAGGACUGGACUUCUGGGGUGGGGAGAACGUGGAACUCUCUUUUAAGGCGUGGAUGUGUAACGGAUCGGUGGAACUCAUCCCGUGCUCCCAGGUCGGACACAUAUUUAGGACUGUCAACCCCAUCAGGUGGCCGAAAGGGGCGUCAUCAUGCGGAACUCCAUACGUGUAGCGGAGGUGUGGCUUGACGACUUCAAGGACGUGUUCUACGACUUCUCAUUUCAUAAAAGUGAGUUCGGCGACGUGAGCGCCAGGAAGCGUCUGCGGGAGUCCCUGCACUGCCACGACUUCCGGUGGUACAUGGACAACGUCAUGGACGGCCAGCUGCCGCCCACAGUUGUGGCGCGGGGA